rnacentral:misc_RNA from 1 species
UGAUCAGAGCUGUACAAGUCCUUGCUCGUGACGUCUAGAGUUUGGUCAGUGAUACAUUUAGCACGUAGGUGAAACUCGACUGAGCAAUACUCACACUGGCCGUCACCAUCGCAAGCGUCACAGUCGCGAGAGAAGCGCAUGCUCAUGGCGCGUUCGCUGGUGAGAGGAAUGAGGCCAAGGCGGUGAGCGAUGAACUCGUCGUUGAGGACGGAGGAGUUGACCUCGAUCUCGACGAGGUCAAUGGCGAUAGUGGGGACCUCGGCGAUCAUAACACGGCGAAGAGCGUUGGCUAUGGAGGCGUCGGUAUCACGGAGCUCGAAUUUGACAUAGUCGUCUUUGAGCUCUCGGAUUUUCACCCUUGGGAAGCGCUGGUAUGAUACUCCUUCCAU